CGUGACCGAAUAUGGUAUUUUAAAUACUUUUUGGUAUUUUAUCAGCUCUGAUUUUGCUCAAAAGUAUUUUAAUGGUAGCAUUUUUCUUAGAUUUUAUGGUAUUAUAUGGUAUUUUUGGUUUGGUCAUACUUUAAGUCUUAAUGAAUCGAAUGCUUAAUGCUUAAGACUUGCUUAAUUUUAAAACAAAUAAAUAGAAAACAUGAGCAAUAAGCAAAAAUAUAGAGCUGAGUGGGAGACUAUGCCGGAAAAUUAAAAAUGGCUGGGCAGGAGCGCAAAUAAUAUGGAUGCGUGCCAGACUGACAUUUUGAGUAGGCUGGCGUCACUUAAGCAGCACGCGGCUACACAAAAGCAUAAAGAUAAUAUGAAAUACUUCUGUGGAAAAUCAAAGAUUCAAUCGUUUUUUAAAGAGUCGGACAACACUCUAACUACCUCUAUCAAAAAGGCAGAAAUUAUGUUUGCUGCAACGAUUGCUGAACACAACAUAUCAAUGAGAGCAAUGGACCACAUUAGCUAUGUGAUCAAGUGCCAUUGCGCAAGGAUUUUGCUGCAAACGCACCAAAGCUGCCUUCGCUUACGUACAAUGAAUUUUAAGCAUUUAAUUAAUUUUCAGACUUUAAAUAUAUAUUGGAAUAUGGAAUUGAA